rnacentral:rRNA from 1 species
AGCGGGGGUAGCAAUACCUGCCGGCGACCGGCGCACGGGUGAGUAACGCGUAUGCAACCUACCUUAUACAGGGGGAUAGCUCAGGGAAACCUGAAUUAAUACCCCAUAAAGCAGGGGUACCGCCUGGUACUAUUUGCUAAAGAUUUACCGGUAUAAGAUGGGCAUGCGUGCCAUUAGCUAGUUGGUAGGGUAACGGCCUACCAAGGCUACGAUGGCUAGGGGGUCUGAGAGGAUGAUCCCCCACACUGGUACUGAGACACGGACCAGACUCCUACGGGAGGCAGCAGUGAGGAAUAUUGGUCAAUGGGCGCAAGCCUGAACCAGCCAUGCCGCGUGCAGGAAGACGGCCCUAAGGGUUGUAAACUGCUUUUGUACGGGGGUAAUUUUCGGUCUGCGGACUGAAUUGAAAGUACUGUAUGAAUAAGCGUCGGCUAACUACGUGCCAGCAGCCGCGGUAAUACGUAGGACGCAAGCGUUAUCCGGAUUUAUUGGGUUUAAAGGGUGCGUAGGCGGAUAUAUAAGUCAGUGGUGAAAGACUGUCGCUCAACGAUAGCAUUGCCAUUGAUACUGUAUAUCUUGAGUACAGUUGAGGUAGGCGGAAUGUGUAGUGUAGCGGCGAAAUGCUUAGAUAUUACACAGAACACCGAUUGCGAAGGCAGCUUACUAAGCUGUAACUGACGCUGAUGCACGAAAGCGUGGGGAUCAAACAGGAUUAGAUACCCUGGUAGUCCACGCCGUAAACGAUGAUCACUGGUUGUUAGCGAUACACAGUUAGCGACUGAGCGAAAGCAUUAAGUGAUCCACCUGGGGAGUACGUCGGCAACGAUGAAACUCAAAAAAUUGACGGGGGCCCGCACAAGCGGAGGAGCAUGUGGUUUAAUUCGAUGAUACGCGAGGAACCUUACCUGGGCUCGAACGCGAGAGGAAUAUAGGGGAAACCUUAUAGCUAGCAAUAGUCUCUUGCGAGGUGCUGCAUGGUUGUCGUCAGCUCGUGCCGUGGGGUGUCGGUUUAAGUGCCAUAACGAGCGCAACCCUUAUUGUUAGUUGCCAGCGGGUAAUGCCGGGGACUCUAACAAAACUGCCAGCGUAAGCUGUGAGGAAGGCGGGGAUGACGUCAAAUCAGCACGGCCCUUACGUCCAGGGCUACACACGUGUUACAAUGGCCGGUACAGAGGGCAGCUACUUUGAGAAAAGAUGCGAAUCUCUAAAGCCGGUCCCAGUUCGGAUUGAAGUCUGCAACUCGACUUCAUGAAGUUAGAUUCGCUAGUAAUCGCGCAUCAGCCACGGCGCGGUGAAUACGUUCCCGGGCCUUGUACACACCGCCCGUCAAGCCAUGGGAGCUGGGGGUACCUGAAGUUCGUGACCGCAAGGAGCGACCUAGGGUAAAACUGGUGACUGGGGCUAAGUCGAAACAAGGUA